rfam:Schistosoma haematobium scaffold462_7, whole genome shotgun sequence.
AUUCAGUUGACGAGUCUCGGAUGGGACGAAACACGCGUCUUGAAU